rnacentral:rRNA from 1 species
UACGGAGGGUGCAAGCAUUGAUCGGAAUUACUGGGCGUAAAGGGCGCGUAGGCGGCUUAGAAAGUCGGAUGUGAAAUUCCGGGGCUCAACCCCGGAGCUGCAUUUGAAACUCCUGAGCUAGAGUUCAGUUAGGGUAAACGGAAUUCCACGUGUAGCGGUGAAAUGCGUAGAUAUGUGGAAGAACACCGGUGGUGAAGACGGUUUACUGGGCUGAGACUGACGCUGAGGCGCGAAAGCAUGGGGAGCAAACAGG